AGCAGCCGCGGUAAUUCCAGCUCCAAUAGCGUAUAUUAAAGUUGCUGCAGUUAAAAAGCUCGUAGUUGAAUUUCGGGACUAAUAUGUCGGUCGUGCCUCGGUACGUACUGGUUUAUUGGUUUCUCCUUUCUGAAGAACCAUGAUGUCAUUUAUUUGGUGUCGUGGGGAAUCAGGACUGUUACUUUGAAAAAUUAGAGUGUUUAAAGCAGGCUCACGCUUGAAUACAUUAGCAUGGAAUAAUGAAAUAGGACGUUUGAUUCUAUUUUGUUGGUUUCUAGGAUCGACGUAAUGAUUAAUAGGGAUAGUUGGGGGCAUUAGUAUUCAAUUGUCAGAGGUGAAAUUCUUGGAUUUAUUGAAGACUAACUACUGCGAAAGCAUUUGCCAAGGAUGUUUUCAUUAAUCAAGAACGAAAGUUAGGGGAUCGAAGACGAUCAGAUACCGUCGUAGUCUUAACCAUA
rnacentral:rRNA from 1 species